GGCUGGACUUUUGGGUGGAACAAAGGGCAGAGAAGGGUGGGGAGACCCCUAAUGCUUCUCAAGCUCUGCCUACAGGGUCCGGCUCCAGGUCCUGUAGCAUUGCCAGCUGGAUGAAAUGCACUGAGAGCUGCCUUCCAUCUCCCUGGGUCUCAUUUCACAAUGGAGGACUGGCCCAGAGUCUCAUCCCAGGUGCUGCUCCGGGAGAUUCAGGCAGUGACAGUCAUGCUCUCUAACGUCAUCCUGGACAUCCUGGUGACUCACUGUGCAGUCACCACCUAGGGACCAAACUACAUCGAAACCUGCCUGUCCUUGUCAGUUUUCCAAGUCCCCUACAUACCGGGAGGAAGUCUGUCACAGGAGUUCUUACACUGUCUCCUAAAAGGAUCAAGCUAGGUGUGGCGGUGCAUGCUUAUGAUCCCCAUACUAAGGAAGCUGAGGCAGAAGGAUCGGGAGUUCCAGGCCAUUCCGAACAAUUCAGCAGAUUCAAGGCUAACCUGGACUACAGAAUGAGACUGUGUCCAAAAAUUCAGUCAAUAAUCAAUCCACCAAAACAAAAGUGAUUCAUAGGUUUUCUUUCUCUGAUACAUUUGCUCACCAC
rnacentral:lncRNA from 1 species